UAGGGAAUCUUCGGCAAUGGGGGCAACCCUGACCGAGCAACGCCGCGUGAGUGAAGAAGGUUUUCGGAUCGUAAAGCUCUGUUGUAAGUCAAGAACGAGUGUGAGAGUGGAAAGUUCACACUGUGACGGUAGCUUACCAGAAAGGGACGGCUAACUACGUGCCAGCAGCCGCGGUAAUACGUAGGUCCCGAGCGUUGUCCGGAUUUAUUGGGCGUAAAGCGAGCGCAGGCGGUUUGAUAAGUCUGAAGUUAAAGGCUGUGGCUCAACCAUAGUUCGCUUUGGAAACUGUCAAACUUGAGUGCAGAAGGGGAGAGUGGAAUUCCAUGUGUAGCGGUGAAAUGCGUAGAUAUAUGGAGGAACACCGGUGGCGAAAGCGGCUCUCUGGUCUGUAACUGACGCUGAGGCUCGAAAGCGUGGGGAGCGAACAGGAUUAGAUACCCUGGUAGUCCACGCCGUAAACGAUGAGUGCUAGGUGUUGGAUCCUUUCCGGGAUUCAGUGCCGCANCUAACGCAUUAAGCACUCCGCCUGGGGAGUACGACCGCAAGGUUG
rnacentral:rRNA from 1 species